rnacentral:rRNA from 1 species
UACGUAGGGGGCUAGCGUUGUCCGGAUUUAUUGGGCGUAAAGAGCGUGUAGGCGGCCAGGUAGGUCUGCUGUGAAAACUCGAGGCUCAACCUCGAGACGUCGGCGGAAACCAUCUGGCUAGAGUCCGGAAGAGGAGAGUGGAAUUCCUGGUGUAGCGGUGGAAUGCGUAGAGAUCGGGAAGAACAUCGGUGGCGAAGGCGGCCAGCUGGGCCGUUGCUGACGCUGAGGCGCGACAGCGUGGGGAGCAAACAGG